AAAUUGAAGAGUUUGAUCAUGGCUCAGAUUGAACGCUGGCGGCAGGCCUAACACAUGCAAGUCGAACGGUAACAGGAAACAGCUUGCUGUUUCGCUGACGAGUGGCGGACGGGUGAGUAAUGUCUGGGAAACUGCCUGAUGGAGGGGGAUAACUACUGGAAACGGUAGCUAAUACCGCAUAACGUCGCAAGACCAAAGAGGGGGACCUUCGGGCCUCUUGCCAUCGGAUGUGCCCAGAUGGGAUUAGCUAGUAGGUGGGGUAAAGGCUCACCUAGGCGACGAUCCCUAGCUGGUCUGAGAGGAUGACCAGCCACACUGGAACUGAGACACGGUCCAGACUCCUACGGGAGGCAGCAGUGGGGAAUAUUGCACAAUGGGCGCAAGCCUGAUGCAGCCAUGCCGCGUGUAUGAAGAAGGCCUUCGGGUUGUAAAGUACUUUCAGCGGGGAGGAAGGGAGUAAAGUUAAUACCUUUGCUCAUUGACGUUACCCGCAGAAGAAGCACCGGCUAACUCCGUGCCAGCAGCCGCGGUAAUACGGAGGGUGCAAGCGUUAAUCGGAAUUACUGGGCGUAAAGCGCACGCAGGCGGUUUGUUAAGUCAGAUGUGAAAUCCCCGGGCUCAACCUGGGAACUGCAUCUGAUACUGGCAAGCUUGAGUCUCGUAGAGGGGGGUAGAAUUCCAGGUGUAGCGGUGAAAUGCGUAGAGAUCUGGAGGAAUACCGGUGGCGAAGGCGGCCCCCUGGACGAAGACUGACGCUCAGGUGCGAAAGCGUGGGGAGCAAACAGGAUUAGAUACCCUGGUAGUCCACGCCGUAAACGAUGUCGACUUGGAGGUUGUGCCCUUGAGGCGUGGCUUCCGGAGCUAACGCGUUAAGUCGACCGCCUGGGGAGUACGGCCGCAAGGUUAAAACUCAAAUGAAUUGACGGGGGCCCGCACAAGCGGUGGAGCAUGUGGUUUAAUUCGAUGCAACGCGAAGAACCUUACCUGGUCUUGACAUCCACGGAAGUUUUCAGAGAUGAGAAUGUGCCUUCGGGAACCGUGAGACAGGUGCUGCAUGGCUGUCGUCAGCUCGUGUUGUGAAAUGUUGGGUUAAGUCCCGCAACGAGCGCAACCCUUAUCCUUUGUUGCCAGCGGUCCGGCCGGGAACUCAAAGGAGACUGCCAGUGAUAAACUGGAGGAAGGUGGGGAUGACGUCAAGUCAUCAUGGCCCUUACGACCAGGGCUACACACGUGCUACAAUGGCGCAUACAAAGAGAAGCGACCUCGCGAGAGCAAGCGGACCUCAUAAAGUGCGUCGUAGUCCGGAUUGGAGUCUGCAACUCGACUCCAUGAAGUCGGAAUCGCUAGUAAUCGUGGAUCAGAAUGCCACGGUGAAUACGUUCCAGGCCUUGUACACACCGCCCGUCACACCAUGGGAGUGGGUUGCAAAAGAAGUAGGUAGCUUAACCUUCGGGAGGGCGCUUACCACUUUGUGAUUCAUGACUGGGGUGAAGUCGUAACAAGGUAACCGUAGGGGAACCUGCGGUUGGAUCACCUCCUUACCUUAAAGAAGC
rnacentral:rRNA from 1 species